rnacentral:rRNA from 1 species
GAUGAACGCUGGCGGCGUGCCUAACACAUGCAAGUCGAACGCGAAAAGGGCUUCGGCUCUGAGUAGAGUGGCGAACGGGUGAGUAAUGCAUCGGAACGUGCCAUUGAGUGGGGGAUAACGUAGCGAAAGUUGCGCUAAUACCGCAUAUUCUGUGAGCAGGAAAGCAGGGGACCGCAAGGCCUUGCGCUCUUUGAGCGGCCGAUGUCAGAUUAGCUAGUUGGUGAGGUAACGGCUUACCAAGGCGACGAUCUGUAGCGGGUCUGAGAGGAUGAUCCGCCACACUGGAACUGAGACACGGUCCAGACUCCUACGGGAGGCAGCAGUGGGGAAUAUUGGACAAUGGGCGCAAGCCUGAUCCAGCAAUACCGCGUGUGUGAAGAAGGCCCUAGGGUUGUAAAGCACUUUCAAUGGGGAGGAAAAGAGUAAGCUAAUACCUUGCUUAUUGACAUUACCCAUACAAGAAGCACCGG